rnacentral:rRNA from 1 species
UCUUUUGGAUUAUUUAGGAUUUUAUUUUUGGGUGAAAAAGCCCAGAUUUUAUUAAAAGACAAGAAGACCCUAUCGAGCUUCAGAAAAAUUAAUAGAGUAGUCACGCUUAAUAUUGAUAAAAGAAGAGCUAUUAAACACUUUGGUUGGGGCAACCGAGGAGUAAACAAAGCCUCCUUUGAAUAAGAAAUUUACUUGUGAGGAUCCAAGAAUUUUGAUCAAAGAAAUUAGUUACCGUAGGGAUAACAGCAUUAUUUUUUUGAGAGCCCAUAUCGAAAAAAAGGUUUGUGACCUCGAUGUUGGACCAGAAUGUCCUAAA